rnacentral:rRNA from 1 species
UACGUUGAGCUAACCAGUACUAAUUGCCCGUGCGGCUUAACCAUACAACACCCAAAGGGUUUUGUGGGACGCCAAAGUAAGGCGAGAGAAUCAAAGCACUGUUAUCAGCUUAAUCCGAAUUACUAAGUUGGCUCGUAAGAGCGGACUUAAACGAAUUCGCCUGGCGGCAAUAGCGCUGUGGAACCACCUGACUCCAUUCCGAACUCAGAAGUGAAACGCAGCCGCGCCGAUGGUAGUGUGGCAUUCGCCAUGUGAGAGUAGGUCACCGCCAGGC